rnacentral:snRNA from 1 species
UACCGCGAGGUAAAGAUGAA